rfam:Camelus ferus unplaced genomic scaffold scaffold692, whole genome shotgun sequence.
GAGGGUAUAGCUCAAGUGGUAGAGCGCAUGCUCAGCAUGUACAGGGUCCUGGGUUCAAUCCCCAGUGCCUCCU